ensembl:lncRNA
AAAUCCAUUAUGACUGAAUGACUAACUCAAAGAUUCAAGAAAUUAUUAUUUAGUUCGUAAAUUACUCAAAACUCUUAAUACUUGAAAUUCCUCAGCUUGUUACAAUCUUCAAUUAAUUGUUUAAUAAGACAAAGAAGAUGAACUCCAAUCAGUAAAGUUUCCUUCUCAUGUAUAAUCUGGUUGAUUCAGCUCUUUUAGAAGGAAGGCAAAACUAAUUUAGGAUGCUGCCCUUAAAUGCUCAGGCCCACUCACGUAGUCUCCCUAGUUCUGACGUCUUAACAUCAGUGGGGAACACUUGAGAAGAUUAGAUGGCAGAAGAGAGAAGGCAGUGGGCCUUGAGAGCAGCAGCUAAGGAGCCUCUCUUGCUCUCUUGAAGAGAGAAGUGUCACCUGGAAAGAGAAACAGGGAGCUGGUAGUCUCAGCGUUUUCCAGAGGAUACCGACUUUUGAGGCAAUGGCCCAGAGUGGCCACAUGUGUCUUGAAUAAUCGAAAUAACCUUUGCCUUUCACCGGGAGCCUCUUAAAGAUCAGAGAAACCAAGGAAGUAAUUUCAAGAUAUAAGAGGAAGUCAACAGGAUCACAUAUACUAAAAGAUGUCAAGGAAAUAAAGAGAGAAAAACUUCCAUUGGAUUUGUGCGGGAGCCUUGAACAAACACGUGUGCUACACGACACACCAGUUCUGGAGCUCCUUCUUGUGUUCUUCCCAAUAACCCCGCCCUGUGUGAAUAUGAAGCAUCAUAUACCUAUAAGGAUCUGAACCUGUGAACCCCAGGCUGCCAAAGAAGAGUGUGUGAACUUAACCACUAUGCCACUGGGCUGGCCCAAAGGCCUUCUGUUUUUAAGAGCGUCUAUAAUAUGGAUAAUAUUCCUGGAAGAAGCUAAAAUAGCAGAAAGCAGGUCACCCAGCUCCUGAGCAUCUGUUGGAAGAGGUCAUUGAGAGGACGUGGUUGACCUGUGAGCUUGUCCUGUCAAUCGGAGGCUCCUCAGCUCCCCCUCUGUCCUUGGAAUGUGCAUUCCACUCACCAUUCCCUCACUAGGAGCUGUUUCAAGGAUGCACCUUUGAUCAAGAGAGCAAUAUGUUAUUGAGGCCAUCUGAAUGGUAUAUGUGACUGAGCCCAGAGACUCGAAGAGAUUUAAGAAACUUGUCCAAAGACGCAAAGCUGAUCAGCCCUGAGCUAACAUCUGCUGCCAAUCCUCCUCUUUUUGCUGAAGAAGACCGGCCCUGAGCUAACAUCCGUGCCCAUCUUCCUCUACUUUAUAUGUGGGACGCCUACCAUAGCAUGGCGUGCCAAGUGGUGCCAUGUCUGCACCCAGGAUCCGAACCAGCGAACCGGGGCCUGCUGAAGCAGAACGUGUGCACUUAACCACUGCGCCACCGGCCCGGCCCCUAAAAAAAAAUUUCAGUUUUGGAAAAUCGGAUUUUAAUAACUUUAACUUGAGAGCAUUUACACAGAAGGUAUGAGAGUAAAACUUUCAUAGGUUUUGGUUAAGUUUACAAGUUUUUCGUUCUCAUUCUCUUGGUCAUAAGGUAUCUCAUCUGUCUCUGUGGUUUAGGGGAGGAAGCCUUCUUUUAACACUACUGUCUACACAGAACAUCAGAAUGAGAUGGUGAGGUAACUAGAAACUUUACUGAUGUGCACGUUGUAUAAUUUAAUUACUUCGUAAACCUAAGCUCAAAAGGAUCAACUAUACAAAGGGAGUUUCAGUUUUUCAUUAUUUGGCAUUUCACAUUAUUAAUAUUUCUUGUUUGGUAGGAUACUUGCAAUUUUGCAUAUUGACUAACAAAGUAAUUAUAGUAUAAUUAUAUCAUUAGCAACAUUUUGUCCUGUUGUUCCUAAGGCUGAAUCCUACAGCAGUUAAAUAUUGAAGUGCUUAGUGAUUAAAAAGUAGGUUCUGUGGUUACCUCUUUGGGGUAACAAUGCUUCUGUUUCUUCUAAUAAGGAAAAGCAGGUGGGAAAAAUACCUAAAAUUGUCCAUUUCAGAAACAAGACUUCUGAAAUGGCAAAGUAAGGAACUCCAAAAAUCUACUCCAUAAAAGCAAUGAGGAUGCUGGAGACAGUGGUCAAUCAGAAUAAACUUUUUCAAAACCCCAGAAAAUAACAAAAGGCUUUACAGUAUAUGAAUUAUAUCUUAAUAAACCAGUUGUAAAAAGGGGCCUGUCUCAUCCAAUCUAGGUUCACCAAAAUAGCUUGCCCAUUUCUGUCUCUGUGGACGGACAUUUAGCUCUCUCCCACUUAUAGACGAUAUUGUGUGGGACAGAAAUUUUGGAGAAAAGUGAAAAAGCAGAAAUAGCCUGAAAAGUAGGCAGCCAGACAGCAAGCAACCAUGUUCAGGGGCAGAGUGGAUGAGUUGUCAGUGCUUGGAAAAUCCCAAUAUUUAACAAAAAUCGAAAGAGGUCUUGUCAAGCCACACAAUGAAAACCCAGCCUCAGACCCCAACAGAUCGCAGAACGAAAGGCCUGGAGUGAGGCAGCAGAGAAUUAAGAAGGGAAUCAGCGGCAUUUGGGUCCCAGUUCAUGUCACAGUUCAGCCACUUACAAGUUAUAUGACAAAUUCUCCACUUUCAGCCUAAAUUCCUCA